rnacentral:lncRNA from 1 species
CGAAUUCAAUGCUUUGGACCCUUUCUUCAACAAACAACACUUUAGAGCUCUUUCUCAUAAAUUUUCAACUCUUUUCACAACUUUUCUUCUUUUCAUUCUAUUUUCCACCAAUUUUUCUUUUUCUUUUCCUUUUAUACCCGUGCCUUAUAAAGGACUUUAGCACACACAAACACAAGAAUCACUUCCCCCACACUUGUUUUUCUGCAAGAGUUCAACAAAAGGAAUUCCUUCUAAAUUGUACUUUACUAUGCUUCAAGAACAAGGGUAUGGAUGGUCCUAAAACUAGGCUAGGUAAGGAUAGUGUGGGUUAACAAAGAACAUAGGCUUAACAAGGCUCAACGGGGUUAAACUUAAACAAAUAAUGAAAUAGGGGCACGGCAAUUUGGCUUUGGUGGUCACUACACAACUUCAUCUUGAAUAUGUGUUAUGCAAAUCAUAGCAUGCUUUGAAUGAAAUAGGCAUGAGUUCUAGCAUUUGGAACUAAAUGAUGAAACGCCUUCUAAGUAGCAACCAAGCAAAGAAUAAUGAGAUCAUGCAAUGACUUUAGAAAACAAUGAUGCACAGAUUAUUAACUCUCCAAAUAAACGUUUAGGCUCAAGUCUCACAAGGUUGU